UGGCAACGGCCCUCUUAGCACAGAGUGGGUGCUUGGAGGCUGACGUUUAUUGGGUGCAUACCAUGUUCCAUGCAACUGGGAUUAUGGCCUUUAAUGGGUGAUCACACUUCAAUCACAAGCACCCUGUGAGGUAGCACUACUGUGACCCCCAUUUUAUAAAUCGUGCUAUGGAAACACUGAGAGCUCAUCCAAGGUUACACAGUCGGGAGGGAGGGCUGACCCUGGAGCCUGUGCUAUCGCUUAUGCUGCCAGCGUCCCCGUGACGGUGAUGGGGUAGUGACUUCAGCUGAUGAAUGGAAACAGAGGCUAAAGGGGCUGAUUCUCCUGAUCUUCCCAGAGAAGUUGGCUGUCCCAUCCAGAUGACAAUUGUCCCAGUUUUCAGAUGUUGACUCCUUUUCUAGUGGGCCUGUGGACAGCAGGCUGCACCCUCUGCUGUCCUAUAGUGGCUGAGAUCAUGGGACCUGGAGUCCAGCUGCCUGCUCUGGGCCUUACAUCUGCCCCUCCUCACCACGUUCUCAUCUGUAAAAUGAAGUCAUGCUAAUACCCGCUUCACACAAUCUGCGCAGAUUGAAUGGAAUACUUCAGACACAGAGCAGUCCCCAGC
rnacentral:lncRNA from 10 species